UACAGAGGUCCCGAGCGUUACUGAGAUUCACUGGGUUUAAAGGGUGCGUAGGUGGUCCGUUAAGUCAGUUGUGAAAUCCCCGGGCUCAACCCGGGAACUGCUUCUGAUACUGGCGGACUUGAGGCCUGUAGGGGUCACUAGAACAGACGGUGGAGCGGUGAAAUGCGUAGAUAUCGUCUGGAAUGCCUGUGGUGAAGACGGGUGACUGGGCAGGUUCUGACACUGAGGCACGAAAGCGUGGGGAGCGAACGGG
rnacentral:rRNA from 1 species